GAUUACAGUACAGUCCUCGACGCCUUCACGCUGUAUAUGGGUUGAAGACAGCAUCGAGAAGAAGAAUAAGGACCAUGGCGUUGAAGAUUUUGCCCGGAAAUCUUCUGGGGCAAGGCGAAGUUUGCAGCCCCUUCGAAGCCGUGAAUGAUGAGCCAAAACAAACAUGUACGCUCACAGGCUGGCACCCCAGCAAAUCAACCAAAACAAGGAUGGUGGAUAUUCCAGUAACAGCAACAGGAAAAAUGCCCAAUUAUUCGAUGCGUAUAGAGCGCGCAAAUGGUGGUGCGCGAAGAGGGACCAAGUGAUGUGGAAGCUAGGUAACGUCUCUUUUCUGACGAAGAGAAAUAUAAAUUGCUUACUGAAUAAAGAAAUCGUCUUUAACGGGGAA